AAUUGCGAACCGUGUCUCGGGAGCGUUAGAGAUGGAGACUAACGUCUUCCAAGGGAGAUUGCGUCUCCACUUUCACCCUGGUACUGAGAGGUUGAGCACAAAAUUGGAACGCAGUCGCGGGGUAUAUCCCCCUGAAAACCGUACGUUGCCAAAUAAUGAUUUCUUUGGAUUAGAGAACUACAACUCCCCUGGGUCCUGAGCCGGUAUUUCCCUUUUGCGGCUGCACCGUAGUUAAAAACAAAGCUAAGUGUUCUGGGACGUAUAGUUCUAGCGUUCCUUGGGUCCCGCUGGCGAGCGUGGGCUUUCUGCAGCUCGCAACCGGCCUCGUGCUUUGCGGACGGUUCACUGCGCUUGGAAAGGGAUUGGCCUGGGGUACAUCAUCUAAAGAUCCUAGGAUUGCUGCAGGUCAGCAGUCUCCACUGGAAAAAAAGAUCUUGCAUGUAUUUCAAGUCCUCUGAUGAAUCAUGUGAUCUACUAGACCCUGAAGAUACAGUGAAGAGCAAAAGAACACAGAUGAAAUGAGAAACAAAAACGAUGGAGAAAACCAAAAAAGGGGACACAUGGGAUCCAGGCAAUAGGAGAGCCAGCAUAAGAGAGAGGCAGAGGGAUGCCCAGGAUGAGGUGAAGACGAUCUUGGAAAUCAGCCCAGAUGUGCAUGCACCAGUCCACGUGUGGCAGGACCAAGGGAAGUGUCUUCACAAAGAUGAGGGGUACACUCCUUUGGAAACCAGAACCUCGUAUCCUGCACAGCCCAGUGUUGGGAGAUAAAAUAUGCGAAAUACCCCAUUGAGUGAAUCUAAGAGAUUGGACAUGGAGCCAAACCUGCUUCCGCCUUUUGAUUUCUGGACACACAUGUUCUUCCUAUUGAGAACACAGAACUCUAGAGACGUCUCUGAUUCAAACAAUGCACUGUGUCCUGAAAGAUGGCACCCACCCCUCAGAGUGCUUCCUCCAGGCUGGCACUGAGUUGUGCCUGUAGAAGACCUGUCCAGCCUUCCUUGUGGCUGGCAGCUCCUGGGUAGUGCAGAUGGUGAUAGGAUUAGUGGAACCCACAGCCGUGGAAACACUGAAACUUUCCCUGCAAAGUGGGUCCUUCAGGCAGAUAAUGGGCUAGGAGCACUGCCUAGCCUGCAGACCAGGAAUGUCAACAGCACCCAGAGAGUGGUGCUGGCUGUGUCUGAGAGCAGGACAGGAAAACCCACCCAUAGAAUCGGUACCUAACCCUGUGAAGAUGAAACUCUGGCCCUUCCAGGUUGGAAGUAGCUAAAUGUAGUCAACUUGUUACUUAGUGGGUAGUCAUGUAAAGAAAUAGUGCCCCACUAGGGCACAUCAUGGGCCUCAAUUGCUGAUGAGUUGGACAUUCAGAGGUGGCAGCAGCUGGAUCUGCCUUGGUGUGGGGAAGUCAGUGCUGCUGGCCCCUUACGGAGCCUCAUGCCUGCCACUGUGGUUGCUCCAUUCAUGCACUCAUCCUACCAGGCCUGGGCUGACCCAUGGUGAAAGCUGGCUAACUGCCAUUUGUCUGUUUGGUAGUUCAGUGCCACUUCAGACUUGGGUGUUUUCUGUGGGUGUCAGCAAGGGAUUCAAGCUCAACCCAGGUGGACUGUUUUCACCUGAUGAUGAAUGCUGUUGGGCCUGUACCAUCUAUGACUUUGUGGGUCACACAGGCACUUGGAACCCCGUAGUUGCUUGGUAUCCCGUGGUCAAACAUUCUAUUGAAUCAGGACAAGGAACACUAAAAGUUGCUUCUAACAGGGGGCAUGUGUCUCUGCUGUGGAUGACAUGAUCUUACUCCAGAAUCCCAGGCCCUCCACUGUGACUCUCCCACUGGUGCUUGGUUCAGCUCCAUCCUGUGUCUUUCCCCACCACUGGCACCACCAGCCCCAGGGGUCUGAGGGAUGGUGGCUGCUUGUACCAUGGCCUGGAUCUGCUGCAGGGUCCUUUCCUGUGUAGGCCCCACUUGAAGCUGGCAUCCUCCUAUGUCACCUAGACUGUGGGCCAAAGCAAAAUGUCUAGAUGUGGAAUGUGGUGUUGUUAUAAUUCAAAGAGGCUCACCAAGCAGUGUGCUUCCUUGCUUCUGGUGAGGAUGCAAGAUGCAACAGUUUUUCUUUUACCUUGGAGGGGACACACCUGCAUUCCCCUAAACACUUGGCACUUGUUCACCCAUAAAACUUCACUUCAGUGCCCACCUUUGAAGCUGUAUAAGGUUUAUCUUCACCUUGUGGGGUGCGUGUGUUUUGCAAAGGACUACAGUGCACUUUCUUCCUGCUGCUCAUCUACUCCAGUCAACAUGAAGUUGUCAAUGAAAUGUGCUGAUUUAAUAUCCUAAAGGAUAUGCAGUAUGUCCAGUACAGUCUUAAGCCUAUACUAUAGAGGGCACAGGUGUUACAAUAGCCCUGAGGCAAACAAUAAAUAAAUGUGUCGUUGAUUCCA
ensembl:lncRNA POLR1HASP POLR1H antisense, pseudogene